UCCAUUGUUCUGUUUUUGUCAUUACAUGUCUCUCGAUUAAUACCUCGUGGCAUCAUUCUUGGAAAAAUAAAAAGUUCAAUCUUGAAAAUUCAUAUAAAAAAAAUUGAUAGAUAAAGGCAAGAAGAAGAAGAAUAACAAUAUCUAGAACAAGUAUUUUGUGGUAGAAUUAACAGUAGACAGGAAAGGGUGAAGGGCAAUGAUUUGAAGGUCUGGAAUCCUUGUUAAGUUGUCCCAUAUAUGUUGAUAGAUACAAUAUGAUUGAUUGGAAACUGUGUUUUGAAUCCAAUAUAAUCUUACUGUUGUGUGCACAUAUAUAUGUUGUUUUGGGUUGAGAGAAAAAGUGUUAAGAGCAUGCCCUGGAUUUAGGAUAAGUGUGCAAAGUUUUAGUAUAUGUAUGGAAACAUGAAAUGCACAUGUAUGGGUUUUUGGAGUAGUAUAUAUGGAAAAGGAAAAAGGUAACCAAUUUCUUUUGGCAGAUUUUGGAGAGGGAUUAGGAGGCAAAGGAAUGUGAGUGAAUGGUUGGGUUGAUGAUGGUCUCUCUCUCUCUCUCUCUCUCUCUCUCUCGGUCUUUAGUGGUGGGUUUCAUCAUCAUCAUCAUCAUGCACGCCGGCAGCUUUUUUUCCCCUUUGUCUUCCCUCUCUUUCUCUCUCCCUCUCAUCGAGUCAUUGCCCAUUUCUCACGCUUGCUUUCUCCUAUUAGCCAACUUCAAUUUAAUUUACAAAUUACGAUAUGUUACAUAUAAUAUUCCUUAUUAUUCUUCUA